rnacentral:rRNA from 1 species
UACGGAGGGUGCAAGCGUUAUCCGGAAUCACUGGGCGUAAAGGGUGCGUAGGUGGGCAGGUAAGUCAGUGGUGAAAUCUCCGGGCUUAACCCGGAAACUGCCGUUGAUACUAUUUGUCUUGAAUAUUGUGGAGGUAAGCGGAAUAUGUCAUGUAGCGGUGAAAUGCUUAGAUAUGACAUAGAACACCAAUUGCGAAGGCAGCUUACUACACAAUGAUUGACACUGAGGCACGAAAGCGUGGGGAUCAAACAGG